rnacentral:rRNA from 1 species
AACGUAGGUGGCAAGCGUUGUUCGGAAUCACUGGGCAUAAAGCGCGCGUAGGCGGCUAGGUCAGUCGGGUGUGAAAGCCCUCGGCUCAACCGAGGAACUGCGCUCGAUACUGCCUGGCUUGAGGGUGGGAGGGGAGAGUGGAAUUCCCGGUGGAGCGGUGAAAUGCGUAGAGAUCGGGAAGAACGCCGGCGGCGAAAGCGACUCUCUGGUCCAUUCCUGACGCUGAGGCGCGAAAGCUAGGGGAG